GUUGUGAGCACAGCUUGAGGGCAGUCAUCCACCUCUUCACAUAUUUUCCAUCCGUCAGCUGUGAGAGGCAGAGUGUCAGGUUGUUCAGUUUGGCAAGAUGAGCUCAAGAGGGAAGCCACAACAAAGAAGGAGGCUGCUGCCAUCAUUAGGUGUCUGCCACGCCUAUGAGUCAGUGGAGCCUGCACUUCCGUGGGACGCCUGUAGCAAGCUGAGGGGCAGUUCAUGUUUUCCAUUCACAAAGGAGUCUAUGACCAUUUUACCGUAUCUGCGUAAGAGUCUCCAUGACACAACAGUACCCACGUCACCUCAGACUCUGCACUUGAUGGAUCAGCUGACAUCACCUGGAUCCAUAAACUGGCUCAUCUGAUCUUGCGGUCCCCAUUCAGGAACUGACUCACUGCAAGAGGACAGCUUCAACUCCCUAUAAUUUCAUCUCUGACCCAAACAAUCAGCACUCUCAACUCACCAGCCUUCCCCCACCCACC
rnacentral:lncRNA from 1 species